rnacentral:rRNA from 1 species
CAGAGGGUGCGAGCGUUAAUCGGAUUUACUGGGCGUAAAGCGUGCGUAGGCGGCUGAAUAAGUCGGAUGUGAAAUCCCCGAGCUUAACUUGGGAAUUGCAUACGAUACUGUUUGGCUAGAGUAUGGGAGAGGAUGGUAGAAUUCCAGGUGUAGCGGUGAAAUGCGUAGAGAUCUGGAGGAAUACCGAUGGCGAAGGCAGCCAUCUGGCCUAAUACUGACGCUGAGGUACGAAGCAUGGGGAGCAAACAGGAUU